rnacentral:sRNA from 1 species
GUCGGGGUAUUGGCCGGUGAAGAUCGUCGGACGGCUCGGCACACA